CUUUCCUCUUUCCUACCACCCGCCCGCCCUCUCCUCCCGAUGGCGGCCCUCCCACCGCCCCCUCCUCCCGAUGAGAACCUCUCCUCCGAGCCGCGGCCGACUAGGACCAGGAGGAGCACCGAUGGGUCAUCAUCCUAGAUCCUCCCCUGCUGGUCAUGGGCGAGCCCCCAUGCCAGGGCUAGAGGAGGUGAGAAAGAAGCUGCAAUUCGAGGUGAGGAAACUGGAAUUUGCCCCUUCCCUUCUUCCUCCCGAUCUCACUCCCUUCAGAUUGAUUCGAACAUUGCCGUCCUCAAGAUGGAAGCAACAACACUGGUGGUCUAUCUCACGAAGCAAUCUCACCAUUUUCAGUUAUUUCAUCAUCUCCUAAGUGUUGAACUGCAGACGGUGAUUAAAAUUUAGUAGCCGGUUUGCCCCAUUGCUGUAUUUAGCGUUAUGUGCCUUCACUAAAUUCCACUUGCACAUACAUCACCAGAGUGGAAGAAGAGGAACAUCUGUAGCUGACCUUUUUUUAUACGGUUCAUCAUUUUAUUCUGAACACUUCCAGUACAUGACGAUGGUGCGCGCUGCCGUGCCUGUUUAUUUUUUCAUUAAAUGGCUGGAGUUUCAUCAAUAUAUGUCAGCAUGAUAUAUGAAGCUAAAUUUCCAGGAACUAAUUCCUAUAUUUUUCAUAAUUGAAUAAUUGAUUUUUACCGGUUCGCCUAGAGUUCUAGGUUUAGUCAAAGUCAAAGUUUUCUCAAAAUCAAAGUAUUAAAAUCAAAGUUUUUUCAAAUCAAAUGGAGGGAGUAGUAGGGAGAGACUGGUUAUAUAACGUAUUUGCAGUUGCUUAUAUGCUUCUAAUUAGGACAUGCUGAUGGUGAAUACAGAUAAAUAUUUACAGAAAAAUGAAAUUGCUUAGUUGGUUGCAUCAAGUAAUAGCAUACCUCUAACAUCCAACUGUUUCAUGUUUUAUUUUGGAGCCACCAAGUGGUGAUGAUUUCGUGGCCGUCAAACGGCACGGGUGCCUUUACCAGUGCCACGCAUUCAGGGAUACACAUCCUGGACCAAGAGAGUCGGGAGACCCUGAUGCUGCGCACCGCCGUUCCAACCAUUGAUGAUCUUAUGUCUUUGUACCAGUGAUGGCAAGAUGAUAAACUGGUGCAUAGGGAUUGUCGUCGGGAUAGAUGCAUUUAAGAACUCCGCUAUCAUUCUCACCUCAACAUGGAUUUUCUGCACCAAGAAACCUUUGUAUGAUUGGACAAAAAAAUGGAGUACACUACUGAGGCAAAGCUGAUAUUGUGGUUGAUGCAAUCGUGAGUUUAUAAUAAUCAUCCAAAUAGCACAAGACUGCAGGUCAAAGAGUGGUAAAGUUAACCCCUUAACGUUUCAUAACUGAACUACUACUGUUGUUUGUCAUGACCGAUUUAUACACUGACAACACUAAACCUGCAGGUCUUCCAGUUGGUCUAUGUGCCUCGGCGGAUGAUCUUGCAGAGGGUCAGUAAUGCUUUACAGCUUAAGAUCAAUUCGUCACCACAGUACGAGAAUAACACCAACUUAACAGCUGCAUCGACAUGAACAUUCGGUCUGGUAUGCCCAGCGUGUUACUUAUAGAGCAGGAAUGCAUCCAGCCUUAAGACGGAUUAUGAUAUGCCAUAUCCUUAUGCACCUACCCUUUUUCUUUACUCACCAACAACAGACAUUUUUUUUGUUUGUUUUCACAAAACUGUAUAUGCCUUAUCCAAUUUAGGCUUCGUAAUAAAUCCAAAAUCCUACACAGGAUAGGUAACCUGUUAUUUUUUUGCAUCCAGUCUUAGAGGUUCAGACCUCACGGAUGUGAGUUUAAUAUCAAUCUGUAUGCUUGUUUGAUUAAACCAUGCUGUUGUUAUAUAUGUAUGUGGUUGGUGCUACCUCAA